GAGAACGCUGGCGGCGUCUUAACACAUGCAAGUCGAACGGUGAAGCGCCUUCUUUUGGUGGGUGUGGAUGAGUGGCGAACGGGUGAGUAACACGUGAGUAACUGCCCCCUUCUUCUGAUAACCGCAGAAAGUGUGGCUAAUACGGGAUAUUCUUUCCUGCUGCAUGGUGGGUGUGGAAAAGAUUUGUUUCGGGGGGGGGAUGGGCUCGGGCCUAUCAGCUUGUUGGUGGGGUGAUGCCUUACCAAGCCGGGGACGGUUAGCCGCCUGAAGAGGGUGGACGUUCAACCUGGGGUGAGACCCGGCCCAAAAUUCUUAGGGAGGCAGCAGGGGGGAAUAUUGCACAAUGGGCGCAAGCCUGAUGCAGCGACGCCGCGUGAGGGAUGGAGGCCUUCGGGUUGUAAACCUCUUUCGCCAGUGAAGCAGGCCUGCUCCUUGUGGGUGGGUUGACGGUAGCUGGAUAAGAAGCGCCGGCUAACUACGUGCCAGCAGCCGCGGUAAUACGUAGGGCGCGAGCGUUGUCCGGAAUUAUUGGGCGUAAAGAGCUCGUAGGCGGCUGGUCGCGUCUGUCGUGAAAUCCUCUGGCUUAACUGGGGGCUUGCGGUGGGUACGGGCCGGCUUGAGUGCGGUAGGGGAGACUGGAACUCCUGGUGUAGCGGUGGAAUGCGCAGAUAUCAGGAAGAACACCGGUGGCGAAGGCGGGUCUCUGGGCCGUUACUGACGCUGAGGAGCGAAAGCGUGGGGAGCGAACAGG
rnacentral:rRNA from 1 species